GUCCAGCCGCCGCGGUCAUACCGGCAGCCCGAGUGAUGGCCGAUCUUAUUGGGCCUAAAGCGUCCGUAGCUGGCGGCGCAAGUCCGUCGGGAAAUCCACUCGCCCAACGAGUGGGCGUCCGGUGGAAACUGCACAGCUUGGGACCGGAAGGCUCGAAGGGUACGUUCGGGGUAGGAGUGAAAUCCCAUAAUCCCGCACGGACCACCGAUGGCGAAAGCACUUCGAGAAAACGGAUCCGACAGUGAGGGACGAAAGCCAGGGUCUCCAACCGGAUUAGAAACCCCAGUAGUCC
rnacentral:rRNA from 1 species